ensembl:lncRNA
AUUUUGGCCAGACAUGCAAGGGUCUCAUUUCAGAACAACUUGAGGAGCCAUUUGACCCAGCAUCAGGGGAAACAGAAAGAGAAUGUCAGUCAUUUGCUUAUUUAACUAUUUUUAAAGACAUAAUUAGUUCUAUUGAAUUAUUGCAGCAGAGGAAGGAUGGAAAUACGAGAACUAGUGCAAAGUAGGAGGGGAAAUAAAGGCAGUGGGAACUCAACUUGAAAAUUUCAAAAGCUAAAUAAUGUUGAAAACAAGGACCACAUUGGUUUAACAUCUUGUUUCCUUUUGUUUAUUGCUGGGCGUUAGAAGGUUCAUGGGCCCGUGUACAGAAGUGAUAUUGAAAAAAAGAGAAAGAAGAAAGAAAGAAAGAAAAAGAAAGAAAGAAAAAAGCUCUUCCCUUUACAACACAAUGCAAAAACUCUCAACUCCUUCCGGAAUCUAAAAGAAUUUUGGAGGUGGCAAACCUUGGAGAACCUUUUUGACAUCUACACCUUGACCAUUAUAUAUCUAAACGGUUUUAAAAACCAAGAAACAAGAGGAUUGGAUGUGCUGAGGAGAGCAAAGAUUCUAUAUUGCCUCAACAGUUGCUCCCUUCCUGCGGCAAAGAAAAUGGCAAAGCAAGCAUUUUUUUGGCCCUUCAUCCAGUGACUUAUGCUGUAGGCUCAUCCAUUUAUUCAUGAUUCCAUCAGCAAAUGUUUCUUGAGCACCUGCUCUGGGCAUACCAUCUUGAACAACAUAGGACUUCUGGCCACAAGGAGAGAAGGU